UACGUAGGGUGCAAGCGUUGUCCGGAAUUAUUGGGCGUAAAGAGCUCGUAGGCGGUUUGUCGCGUCUGCUGUGAAAACUCGGGGCUUAACCCCGGGCCUGCAGUGGGUACGGGCAGACUAGAGUGCGGUAGGGGAGACUGGAAUUCCUGGUGUAGCGGUGAAAUGCGCAGAUAUCAGGAGGAACACCGGUGGCGAAGGCGGGUCUCUGGGCCGAUAUUGACGCUGAGGAGCGAAAGCGUGGGGAGCGAACAGG
rnacentral:rRNA from 1 species